CCCACACACUAAAAACUGCUGGGUUAUUUUAACUACUCAUCUGCUGGGUUAUGAAAUGUCUAACCCAUUAUGAGUUAUUUUUAUGGGAACUGGGUUAUUUUUGGGGGGAUUUGGGUUGUUUUUUGUGCAACUCAUGUGCUGGGUCAAAAUCUGGCAAAAUUCAUCAACCCAACAUGCAUCAGUUGACCCAGCAGCUGAGUUGUUUGUGCUUGGACCGUCAUCACGUUAACUCCUCCUCCACCAUUUCGCGCCCAGACAGGCUCCAAGCUCCUUCAGCAGCUCGCACAUGCUCGAGAGAGACUGAUCAUCUUUGAGAGGAGGGGAUUGAUGAGGAAAGUUUUCUUCUUUUAGAUGAGGCUACCAUCAACCAGUUGAUACCAAGAGCUGGACCUAGGCUGAAGUUCCUCCAAAAAUUUAGAAACUUUGUACGUAGUUGUUGGCAUUGUUAUUGUUAUUGUUGGCAUUCAGUUAUAAUAAAUUUCAAGGCAGUGCCUUGUAAAAAAUA